AUUGUUUUACUUAUUUGUUUCCCUGAAACUGGUAUGUAUGAAUUUUGAUUUCAGCUUCCUCCCUAUGUGUUUACUUAACAAUUGCCUUACUUUGGUCUACUUUGUUGUUUAUGUUCAAUAUUGACUAUGCAUGUUCUUUUCUUGCACCUGUUUCUAUUAUGAAUCCCUACCCCUACCCCCUUUAUGUGUUUGAGUUAAGGUUCAUAGCCUGGCAAUAUUCAAAUUACUGCUCAGGUCUAAACCUGAUCCUCAAUGGAUCCUAACUCCUAAGAUUUGGCUAACAGGCUGGUCAUGGGUGUGUCAGCACUCUUAAUUGCUUGGCCUGACCACCAUCCUGGCCUCGCCUUCCCUAACUCCCCUCUAUGCACUUACACUUAGUCUUAGACUCUAAG
rnacentral:lncRNA from 1 species